rnacentral:rRNA from 1 species
UUCCGUAGGGGUAACCUGCGGAGGGAUCAUUACCGAGUUUACAACUCCCAAACCCCUGUGAACAUACCAAUUGUUGCCUCGGCGGAUCAGCCCGCUCCCGGUAAAACGGGACGGCCCGCCAGAGGACCCCUAAACUCUGUUUCUAUAUGUAACUUCUGAGUAAAACCAUAAAUAAAUCAAAACUUUCAACAACGGAUCUCUUGGUUCUGGCAUCGAUGAAGAACGCAGCAAAAUGCGAUAAGUAAUGUGAAUUGCAGAAUUCAGUGAAUCAUCGAAUCUUUGAACGCACAUUGCGCCCGCCAGUAUUCUGGCGGGCAUGCCUGUUCGAGCGUCAUUUCAACCCUCAAGCCCCCGGGUUUGGUGUUGGGGAUCGGCGAGCCCUUGCGGCAAGCCGGCCCCGAAAUCUAGUGGCGGUCUCGCUGCAGCUUCCAUUGCGUAGUAGUAAAACCCUCGCAACUGGUACGCGGCGCGGCCAAGCCGUUAAACCCCCAACUUCUGAAUGUUGACCUCGGAUCAGGUAGAAAUACCCGCUGAACUUAAGCAUAUCAAAUCGGAAGGAAA